rnacentral:misc_RNA from 1 species
UGCGGCUGGAUCCCCUCCUUUCUGGAGAUCUCGAGUAAGCGACGGCUUGCCGUCUGCGGAAAGAGCUCCGGUGUCGCCCGCACUCGUCCACGAUCCGUCGUUCCAUUAUUUCAUUGCUGAUGCGGUGAGCAGUCAGCAGUGAGUGGUGAGCAGGUACUGCUUACUACUUACUGCUCACUGCUGACUCGUGACGCUCUUUGACAAUCGUAGGUCCGGAUGGGGCGAACGCUUUCUUCGGAAUGCCGUUCGCAAAUAAAUGUUGAGGAAUCAACACCGUAGAAGUUUGUAGUGACGGCCUUCGCAGGCCGUCAUAUCAGCGUAAUAGAUCGAGAUCAAACGCAAUAAGGCGCACGGUGGAUGCCUUGGCAUCGAGAGGCGAUGAAGGACGUGAUAAGCUGCGAUAAGCCUGGGGGAGCUGCACAUAAGCUGUGAUCUCGGGAUGUCCGAAUGGGGAAACCCGG